CGAUCAGAGUUUAGGAUUCAUCCUGCGAAAAUGAACUCGGUUUUAUUAUAGUGAAUCUCGUAUGUGCGGCGGCUCCACAUGGUUUGCGUCAAUCCGUGAUUAACCAGCCCCUCGUUGUUCGACACCUGACAACAAAAGAAGUGGAAUGGGAGUUGUAUGGGUUGCUGCAAUUAGGACGUCAAGCCCGGCGUUGCAAAGGGUGUAGUUAAAGGGGGUUGUGCGAGGCAACCAAGUGCGUAGCUGGUACGAGAGGAAACAUCCUUGAGGAGGAUGCGCACCAUGUUGUGAUGUUGGACCCCUUCCCCGCAAGAUGCGUCUGCCGAUAGAGCCACCCCUGCCUCCCUGCCAUGUCGUCCGCCACAACUCACGCCCAGUCUGGGGCCCCCCCACAUUUCCCCCCCCCCCCCAGGCACGUGGAGUACCUACACCAUCAAGGGGUUGGCCAACACCCCAGUUAGCUCUCUGCAGGUGGGUGUUUGGAAACCGUAGCCUGGGUAGCUACAUAGCUACCCACAAGCUUGCUCACAUGUCCACGGUUCUUGGAAGUUUGGAAGCGGUCGAGCAUAGAGCGCCCGGUGCUUUCCGCUUCAUGCAAAUCCCUCAGCUCGCAAUGAAAGCCACUCCUGUCGAAAGUAUGUCGAACAGUCGGCAGCGGGCUAGGAACCUAGCGGGGAAAUAUGCCUCUGAGGCGAUUGUGUUUUGGAGAAAAACCAACAUCCAGAAAAACGUUUCGUCGGCUUCGCAAUGUAGUAACCUUUCGGGCAGGAAAACUGCACUUUUUGCGACUCUCCUGGGCGGUAUAGCGCUCGUGACUGUAUCUGUUGGCCAAGCAAUGGUUGGGGGCUCAUGGUGUGGCAAGGUGUAGCGGGGGAAGAUGCCAGGAAGUGAUUUGUCCUUACGGGACAGCUCUAUGCUGGACCAAGAGCACUUGCUCGUCCUGGGAAGGGGUGCUGAAUGUGUGCACAAAAUCUUUAGCGCUGUCCGAAAGCUCACAAAAUGGAGAGGCAGCUAUUGUCCGCAGCUGUACAGUUCCCAGCAGACGUUUUGUCUGGACUUCGCUACGGAUACAGACGGAAUCCGAGGCAAUCGACUUGGCAUGGCCUCAUACGGGACGACUGGGUCGCAAAUUAUGAGGAAAGGAGCACCGGUGGCGGGUACAGAUGUCAGGAAGCAAGUGAUAAGUCACGCGCGAUUGCCAUUUCGAGUGUUAGGAUCAGUAAGCCUUGAAAUCGAGAAAAUUCUAGAAGAACUACAUUAGCGCUUAGCGCCCUUUUCAACUGUCCCGCCGU
rnacentral:lncRNA from 1 species